rnacentral:rRNA from 1 species
AGAGUUUGAUCCUGGCUCAGAUUGAACGCUGGCGGCAGGCCUAACACAUGCAAGUCGAGCGGAUGAGUGGAGCUUGCUCCAUGAUUCAGCGGCGGACGGGUGAGUAAUGCCUAGGAAUCUGCCUGGUAGUGGGGGACAACGUUUCGAAAGGAACGCUAAUACCGCAUACGUCCUACGGGAGAAAGUGGGGGAUCUUCGGACCUCACGCUAUCAGAUGAGCCUAGGUCGGAUUAGCUAGUUGGCGAGGUAAAGGCUCACCAAGGCGACGAUCCGUAACUGGUCUGAGAGGAUGAUCAGUCACACUGGAACUGAGACACGGUCCAGACUCCUACGGGAGGCAGCAGUGGGGAAUAUUGGACAAUGGGCGAAAGCCUGAUCCAGCCAUGCCGCGUGUGUGAAGAAGGUCUUCGGAUUGUAAAGCACUUUAAGUUGGGAGGAAGGGCAGUAAGCUAAUACCUUGCUGUUUUGACGUUACCGACAGAAUAAGCACCGGCUAACUCCGUGCCAGCAGCCGCGGUAAUA